rnacentral:rRNA from 1 species
AUUGAACGCUGGCGGAAUGCUUUACACAUGCAAGUCGAACGGUAGAGGGGGCAACCCCUUGAGAGUGGCGAACGGGUGAGUAAUAUAUCGGAACGUGCCCAGUCGUGGGGAUAACGUAGCGAAAGUUACGCUAAUACCGCAUACGAUCUAAGGAUGAAAGCGGGGGAUCGGCAAGACCUCGCGCGAUUAGAGCGGCCGAUAUCAGAUUAGGUAGUUGGUGAGGUAAAGGCUCACCAAGCCAACGAUCUGUAGCUGGUCUGAGAGGACGACCAGCCACACUGGGACUGAGACACGGCCCAGACUCCUACGGGAGGCAGCAGUGGGGAAUUUUGGACAAUGGACGCAAGUCUGAUCCAGCCAUUCCGCGUGCAGGAUGAAGGCCCUCGGGUUGUAAACUG